AUACGGAGGGUGCAAGCGUUACUCGGAAUCACUGGGCGUAAAGCGCGCGCAGGCGGUCUUUUAAGUUGGAUGUGAAAGCCUACGGCUCAACCAUAGAACUGCAUCCAAAACUAUUUAGCUAGAGUGUGGGAGAGGAAGAUGGAAUUAGUUGUGUAGGGGUAAAAUCCGUAGAGAUAACUAGGAAUACCAAAAGCGAAGGCAAUCUUCUGGAACACUACUGACGCUGAGGCGCGAAAGCGUGGGGAGCAAACAGGAUUAGAAACCCUAGUAGUCC
rnacentral:rRNA from 1 species